UUUGCUAGCAGACCAAGAAAAAGAAAGGAGAAGACAGUGUUACAAGGCCUGGGAGGAAAGACGCAUAAAAGCAAUUGAAGAACGCCAGCAACGACUGGCGGUACAUGAAGAACCAUCAAGUGGGCUGCUUUUGAAGUUCAAAUAUCCGAAUGGAUUUAUCACAAAGAGAACUUUCAAUGUGUCUGACCCAAUCCAGGUCUUGUUUGACUUUGUCGGACAAGAUGAAAUGGCAAGUGAAAUAUUCAGUGUUCAACAAGCAACAUCAUCCACACCAAUUGAGAGUACC